rnacentral:rRNA from 1 species
GAUCCUGGCUUAGGAUGAACGCUAGCGACAGGCUAACACAUGCAAGUCGAGGGGCAGCAUAGAAGUAGCAAUACUUGGUGGCGACCGGCGCACGGGUGAGUAACGCGUAUGCAACCUACCUAUCAGAGGGGAAUAACCCGGCGAAAGUCGGACUAAUACCGCAUAAAACAGGGGCACCGCAUGGUGAUAUUUGUUAAAGAAAUUCGCUGAUAGAUGGGCAUGCGUUCCAUUAGGUAGUUGGUGAGGUAACGGCUCACCAAGCCGACGAUGGAUAGGGGAACUGAGAGGUUGGUCCCCCACACUGGUACUGAGACACGGACCAGACUCCUACGGGAGGCAGCAGUGAGGAAUAUUGGUCAAUGGGCGGGAGCCUGAACCAGCCAAGUCGCGUGAAGGAAGAAGGACCUAUGGUUCGUAAACUUCUUUUGCAGGGGAAUAAAGUGCAGGACGUGUCCUGUUUUGUAUGUACCCUGAGAAUAAGGAUCGGCUAACUCCGUGCCAGCAGCAGC